rnacentral:rRNA from 1 species
AUUGAACGCUGGCGGCAGGCCUAACACAUGCAAGUCGAACGAGUGGCGGACGGGUGAGUAAUGUCUGGGAAACUGCCUGAUGGAGGGGGAUAACUACGGGAAACGGUAGCUAAUACCGCAUACCAUCGGAUGUGCCCAGAUGGGAUUAGCGAGUAGGUGGGGUAAAGGCUCACCUAGGCGACGAUCCCUAGCUGGUCUGAGAGGAUGACCAGCCACACUGGACCUGAGACACGGUCCAGACCCCUACGGGAGGCAGCAGUGGGUAAUAUUGCACAAGGGGCGCAAGCCUGAAGCAGCCAUGCCGCGUGUAUGAAGAAGGCCUUCGGGUUGUAAAGUACUUUCAGCGGGGAGGCGUUACCCGCAGAAGAAGCACCGGCUAACUCCGUGCCAGCAGCCGCGUAAUUC